rnacentral:pre_miRNA from 1 species
UCUUAUGGAUGAGCAAAGGAAGUGGUUUCUUGAAAUGGAAUCUACUCCUGAUGAAGAUGCUGGAA